CGUACGUAUCCGCAUGUGCGUGCAUGUGGUAGCCAUGUUGCAUUGAGACAGGAUUUGCGAGUGCAUGGGAAUAAUUCUGUUAGUACAUGUAACACAUGAGGAAGUCAGAGUAAGAGAAGAUGAUGGAGCAAGUACAGGCUGAUGUGUAGGCAGCAUCACCGGAGAGAGCAGAACCUGAUAGCUUGGAUGAGUUCAGCCACAUAGAGAAUGAUGAAGAUGACUCUGACGUUAGCCGUAGCACAGACAGUGAAAUUAGAAGCAAGCACAGAAGAAAUUCAAGUUCCAGUGAGGACUCCGGUGACAGCGACCCUGACAGUGAUGAGGAACAAGGACAGUGGAUGAAGAAACCAGCAGGUAGAAAAGCUGUCACAUUGCAGUCAUGUUUGCCAUCUGCUUAGAAAUCAAUUUAUGCUGGUACAUUUGGCCGUGGCACUUCU